rnacentral:lncRNA from 10 species
GGCAAAGAGGGGGUACUGAAUGGUCUCAUAAAAAGCCUGCUCUUCAGCACCAGCCAGGCGGAACGGGAUACGGUGGUGUCAGAUAAACCUAUGACAGCAGCUUCACCAACACACAACACACACAGAACAGAUACACAAUACACAACACACACACUACUUCUAUAACAAGGGGAGCGCAGACACAAAACACACAGAUUUCCCAAACCGUGUGUCCCAGUCAAGCACUGUGGGCUGCAGUGAGAUGAGGACACAGGAGCACCUUGGGUUAGUCUGCAUCUUGGUGGCUGGUGGCGCUGGUGGAGUUUUAACUGGAGAGGUAUUUCUGGUUGUCACGGUACUGUUAGCAUAAUGCUUUGGGAACAGAAGCUUCUCCCUGUGGCCGUAUGAAGUUCCAGCCACAAAAGCAGCAGGGAGCAUGAAGCAUAGUCUCCAGGGCCACUGUUCCUUUUCUGCUGACCCCAGAGGGAGGCAGGGAAACCGCUCGCCCCAUUGCUCUUCUGGAAGCCUGUGGCUCCCACGCUGUCCUCGGGCCAUGCUGUCUCUGCCGUGUUCCAUCUUCUCCCGAGUGACACUGCCCAUUCCGUGCAGCCGUCUGUCCUUCCCCCGCUGCUGCUCCCCUGCACCACUGGCUGGGCUGUCCUCAUCCUGGUCUUUUCAGUUGCUUGUCACAUCUUUUUAAAUCCUCCAACUCACUUCCUUUCUUUGAGGGUCCUUGUUCUCUGUCAUCCUUCCUGUGCCUUCCAUUCAGUUCACCUCAAGCUUCCAGUGUCUGAGUGUCAUUCCAGCCAGCGGGCUCCAUGCUGGGCAACUCAGUUUUCUCAUGCCACAGCUUUUUACAUUUCUGUGUAUCAGCAAAUUCCAAAUUUGGGUGUCCUGGUUUUGUAACAUGUAAGGACAAGGAGCUCAACAUUCUUUAAAAACAAAGUAGCUUGAGAAUAAGGAUUCUAGGUGAUUUGCACAUGGUUGAGUGUGUCUUGCAUCACCUGCUCGCAGAACAUUAGGAUGCCUGAAACACAAAACCACCAGUACAUUCUGAUUCUACCUUUUUAAAAUGCUGCUGCAAUUGAACAGUCAUUAAAGAAAACCAGACCCAAAUUAAAAUUUCUGCCUGCAGCAUUUUUGCCAUGUUGUGGGAGUUUGUUUAAGCUACUCCCAGUCAAUUUCAAAUAAACAGUAGCAGAGUUCGUUUAAGACGACUGCCAUUGCUAACACAGCUGAAUGAAAUCAGAGGUCUCUUUGUGGGCUCCCAGUAGAUCCAGGCCCUGUAGGACCAGUUCACUUGUCCACUGUAGCUAAAUAGAUCAUACAAAAGGGCCAAAUGAACAGAUCUACCAGAUAGGAAUAUGAUGAAGUGGCCUGUGGAGACCGCUGCCACAGUCACUGUGUCAUGCCUUCUGUAUACCCCAGCCCAAUUCUAAAGGAGCUUUGCAAGCUGACUCAUCUCACAGUAUUGCUGUGUUUAAUCAUAAUUGGUCUCUUCCCAUUCAUGUCACUGAUCAUUUGUGUUGAAUUCUUUAUUAUUUUAAGUUAUUCUGCAUGAGCAUAGAAAGUAGUUAAUAUUCACGAGUUGCCUGUGGUGUAUACUUCAUCUCACUUGAGUCUGUUGAGAAGUGUGUUUGGGGGAAUCAUCCACUGGUGACACUGCCGGUCUGAGUAACCCUGUCUCCCUUUCUCGGCUCUGAAGGAACUACCUUGUUCUGCACUAGCUCCAUCCCUAGAGCCCUGCUUCUCCAGGCCCGAGAGACCAGCAAACCGUCGCCCUCCGUCCCGUUGGGCCCCACAUUCCCCCACUGCCUCACAGCCUCAGUCACCCGGAGACCCGACGUCCUUGGAGGAGCAUGGUGGCGAGGAGCCGCCCGAGGAGCAGCCACACCGAGAUGCAAGCUUGCAUGGAUUAUCACAGUAUAAUUCACUGUAAUUUGCAUAACCACACCAUCACCAUGAACAAAACUCUGCCCAACAGGAGAGAUCUAGUUUUCUCAAGGUCAAAGAAUGUUUUUUAAAAACACAAAGCUGCUGAAUGUUCAACCUGUGAAACUGAGAUGUUUCUAGAAUGAAACAGUAAAUGUGCCUGUAAUAACUUAAUUUUUUUCAUAGCUCAGAAAACUAUUUUUGUCUCCAUCUUUUUUACACACAGUAUAUUAAACGAAAAGGUAAAUAAGGUAUAAAUAGAUUUAAAAAAUAAAAGUUUUAAAAAAUGUACAUUUUAAGAGAUUCUGAACACCCUCGCUGUCAAUACCUGACUGCCUCUGUUAAAUUUGCACUGUUACAUUUUGGUUCAGUUUAUUUCCAUGUUGAAUUAGAGUGGAUUAAGUUAAUUUUAUUUUGUCAGUGUUACUGUUUUUUACGAAUUUUUUAAUGCUUCAGACUGUCUGAUUCAGUGAACUUUUUGUAGUGAAAAAGCCAUGAAGCCAGUAGACAAGACAGAUAUUCUGUAUGCUGGAGGGGAUACAGGAUGAUUUUGAAAAGGUACAAAGUCCUCAGUGGGCUUAGAAAAUUCACUGUAUGAUCCUUAUAUUAUCCUACUUGGCUUGCACGUCUUCGGGUGCAUGUAUAUACCGCUACUGUGUCCUCGCCAUCACCUAAAUGUGACUCAGUCUGUUCCACUGUAAUAUGUUGUGAAUUUCCUUGUACUGUACUUUUAUUGUUGGUCUUCUUGCAUCGAUGAUCCAACAGCAACACCAUUUUUAAAUUAUUGUGAAAAGAUUAACUGGCAAUGUACAGAGUUUACUCAAAGUUUUCUUAAGGGAAAACACUACAAAAAGUCACAAGGAUACCAAAUGGAAACACAUGAUGAUGCCUCUGGGUCUGUAUGAGACCGUGAUGAAGUAGAAAUAAAGCCCUUCUGAGAUGGCA